rnacentral:rRNA from 1 species
UACGAAGGGGGCUAGCGUUGUUCGGAAUUACUGGGCGUAAAGCGCGCGUAGGCGGCGAUCUAUGUCAGGGGUGAAAUCCCGGGGCUCAACUCCGGAAUUGCCUUUGAAACGGGAUCGCUAGAGUCCGAGAGAGGAUGGCGGAAUUCCUAGUGUAGAGGUGAAAUUCGUAGAUAUUAGGAAGAACACCGGUGGCGAAGGCGGCCAUCUGGCUCGGUACUGACGCUCAGGCGCGAAAGCGUGGGGAGCAAACAGG